AGUGAACGCUGGCGGUAGGCCUAACACAUGCAAGUCGAACGGCAGCACAGUAAGAGCUUGCUCUUACGGGUGGCGAGUGGCGGACGGGUGAGGAAUACAUCGGAAUCUACUUUUUCGUGGGGGAUAACGUAGGGAAACUUACGCUAAUACCGCAUACGACCUACGGGUGAAAGCAGGGGAUCUUCGGACCUUGCGCGAUUGAAUGAGCCGAUGUCGGAUUAGCUAGUUGGCGGGGUAAAGGCCCACCAAGGCGACGAUCCGUAGCUGGUCUGAGCGGAUGAUCCGCCACACUGGAACUGAGACACGGUCCAGACUCCUACGGGAGGCAGCAGUGGGGAAUAUUGGACAAUGGGCGCAAGCCUGAUCCAGCCAUACCGCGUGGGUGAAGAAGGCCUUCGGGUUGUAAAGCCCUUUUGUUGGGAAAGAAAAGCAGCAGGUUAAUACCCCGCUGUUCUGACGGUACCCAAAGAAUAAGCACCGGCUAACUUCGUG
rnacentral:rRNA from 1 species